rnacentral:rRNA from 1 species
UACGGAGGGUGCUAACGUUGUUCGGAAUUACUGGGCAUAAAGCGCACGUAGGCGGUCUGCUAAGUCGGUCGUGAAAGCCCCCGGCUCAACCGGGGAAUUGCGUUCGAUACUGGCAGGCUCGAGGACGGUUGGGGUGAGUGGAACUCCAGGUGGAGCGGUGAAAUGCGUAGAUAUCUGGAGGAACACCGGUGGCGAAAGCGGCUCACUGGACCGUAACUGACGCUAAGGUGCGAAAGCUAGGGGAGCAAACGGG